GAUGAACGCUGACAGAAUGCUUAACACAUGCAAGUCUACUUGAACUUCGGUUUGGGUGGCGGACGGGUGAGUAACGCGUAAAGAACUUGCCUCACAGUUAGGGACAACAUUUGGAAACGAAUGCUAAUACCUGAUAUUAUGAUUUUAGGGCAUCCUAGGAUUAUGAAAGCUAUAUGUGCUGUGAGAGAGCUUUGCGUCCCAUUGGCUAGUUGGAGCGGUAACGGCUCACCAAGGCGAUGAUGGGUAGCCGGCCUGAGAGGGUGAACGGCCACAAGGGGACUGAGACACGGCCCUUACUCCUACGGGAGGCAGCAGUGGGGAAUAUUGGACAAUGGACCAAAAGUCUGAUCCAGCAAUUCUGUGUGCACGAUGACGUUUUUCGGAAUGUAAAGUGCUUUCAGUUGGGAAGAAAAAAAUGACGGUACCAACAGAAGAAGUGACGGCUAAAUACGUG
rnacentral:rRNA from 1 species